GUGCCUAAUACAUGCAAGUCGAACGAGUUCUCGUUGAUGAUCGGUGCUUGCACCGAGAUUCAACAUGGAACGAGUGGCGGACGGGUGAGUAACACGUGGGUAACCUGCCCUUAAGUGGGGGAUAACAUUUGGAAACAGAUGCUAAUACCGCAUAGAUCCAAGAACCGCAUGGUUCUUGGCUGAAAGAUGGCGUAAGCUAUCGCUUUUGGAUGGACCCGCGGCGUAUUAGCUAGUUGGUGAGGUAAUGGCUCACCAAGGCGAUGAUACGUAGCCGAACUGAGAGGUUGAUCGGCCACAUUGGGACUGAGACACGGCCCAAACUCCUACGGGAGGCAGCAGUAGGGAAUCUUCCACAAUGGACGCAAGUCUGAUGGAGCAACGCCGCGUGAGUGAAGAAGGCUUUCGGGUCGUAAAACUCUGUUGUUGGAGAAGAAUGGUCGGCAGAGUAACUGUUGUCGGCGUGACGGUAUCCAACCAGAAAGCCACGGCUAACUACGUGCCAGCAGCCGCGGUAAUACGUAGGUGGCAAGCGUUAUCCGGAUUUAUUGGGCGUAAAGCGAGCGCAGGCGGUUUUUUAAGUCUGAUGUGAAAGCCCUCGGCUUAACCGAGGAAGCGCAUCGGAAACUGGGAAACUUGAGUGCAGAAGAGGACAGUGGAACUCCAUGUGUAGCGGUGAAAUGCGUAGAUAUAUGGAAGAACACCAGUGGCGAAGGCGGCUGUCUGGUCUGUAACUGACGCUGAGGCUCGAAAGCAUGGGUAGCGAACAGGAUUAGAUACCCUGGUAGUCCAUGCCGUAAACGAUGAAUGCUAGGUGUUGGAGGGUUUCCGCCCUUCAGUGCCGCAGCUAACGCAUUAAGCAUUCCGCCUGGGGAGUACGACCGCAAGGUUGAAACUCAAAGGAAUUGACGGGGGCCCGCACAAGCGGUGGAGCAUGUGGUUUAAUUCGAAGCAACGCGAAGAACCUUACCAGGUCUUGACAUCUUUUGAUCACCUGAGAGAUCAGGUUUCCCCUUCGGGGGCAAAAUGACAGGUGGUGCAUGGUUGUCGUCAGCUCGUGUCGUGAGAUGUUGGGUUAAGUCCCGCAACGAGCGCAACCCUUAUGACUAGUUGCCAGCAUUUAGUUGGGCACUCUAGUAAGACUGCCGGUGACAAACCGGAGGAAGGUGGGGAUGACGUCAAAUCAUCAUGCCCCUUAUGACCUGGGCUACACACGUGCUACAAUGGAUGGUACAACGAGUUGCGAGACCGCGAGGUCAAGCUAAUCUCUUAAAGCCAUUCUCAGUUCGGACUGUAGGCUGCAACUCGCCUACACGAAGUCGGAAUCGCUAGUAAUCGCGGAUCAGCACGCCGCGGUGAAUACGUUCCCGGGCCUUGUACACACCGCCCGUCACACCAUGAGAGUUUGUAACACCCGAAGCCGGUGGCGUAACCCUUUUAGGGAGCGAGCCGUCUA
rnacentral:rRNA from 1 species